UGGAAAUUUUGGGCAAGAAAGAUAUUGAAACAACCACCAUUUCAAAUUUUCAUACUCAGGUCAACAGGACAUAUUGCUGUGGUACCUACCGAGCAGGUCCUAUGCGACAGAUAAGUCUUGUUGGAGCAGUAGAUGAAGAAGUUGGUGAUUAUUUCCCAGAGUUCCUAGAUAUGUUAGAAGAAUCACCAUUUCUGAAAAUGACUUUGCCCUGGGGUACACUUUCCAGCCUCCAACUACAAUGUAGGUCUCAGAGUGAUGAUGGGCCUAUAAUGUGGGUGAGGCCAGGAGAGCAGAUGAUCCCUACAGCAGAUAUGCCAAAGUCACCCUUCAAAAGACGACGAUCAAUGAAUGAAAUUAAAAAUCUCCAGUACCUACC
rnacentral:lncRNA from 1 species